UGGGUAACCUGCCUCAAAGAGGGGAAUAGCCUCCCGAAAGGGGAGAUUAAUACCGCAUAAUAUGUUUAAGUCGCAUGACUUUAACAUCAAAGGACUUUCUUUUAGAAAUUCCACUUUGAGAUGGACCCGCGGCGCAUUAGCUAGUUGGUGAGGUAACGGCUCACCAAGGCAACGAUGCGUAGCCGACCUGAGGAGGGUGAUCGGCCACAUUGGAACUGAGACACGGUCCAGACUCCGUAGGGAG
rnacentral:rRNA from 1 species